UAGUCCACGCCGUAAACGAUGUCAACUAGCCGUUGGGAUCCUUGAGAUCUUAGUGGCGCAGCUAACGCAUUAAGUUGACCGCCUGGGGAGUACGGCCGCAAGGUUAAAACUCAAAUGAAUUGACGGGGGCCCGCACAAGCGGUGGAGCAUGUGGUUUAAUUCGAAGCAACGCGAAGAACCUUACCUGGCCUUGACAUGCUGAGAACUUUCCAGAGAUGGAUUGGUGCCUUCGGGAACUCAGACAC
rnacentral:rRNA from 1 species